ensembl:lncRNA
GGGCCACAGCCUGCAGCCAGGCACUGCCAUGCACCCCAUGCUCCAGCCAGUCCUGCAGAGCCAGGUUGGGAAACACCUGCAGCUGCAUGUGAGCAUUGGGAAGCACCCAGAGGGCCCAAAAGCUCCUGCAUUCCUGCCUCCCCACCUGGCAGAACCACAGCGUGCUUCUCCAGCAGCCGGGCAGGAUUUGGCCCUCCUCCUUGGUGGUGGAGUUGUGAAAGAGGCUGAAAGGAGAUGGGAGAUUCCCAGGCAGCUCCGAGAUGUGCGCUGGCACUGCGGCUCCGCAGGAAUGCCAGGGAGUGGAGAUGGGAGGAGAGCUGCUGCUUGUUGUGCACAGGCAGGGAACACCUGGAGCUUGGGCAACGUGGGGAGCCAUCCCUGCUGCUCCGACUGGCUCCAUGCAUGUGCUGGCUGCUGGUCUUUAUUACAUUAAUUGCGUUUCACUUUGAGGCUCCGUCAAGUCCGAACGCAGCCCCAACGUAGCGUCACGGGCCUGGCUGGCAUCCAGGAAGGAAAGCCAAGGGGAUGGAGGAAGAUGGGGUGAGAAAGCAGCAGACCAAGGGACCUUUGGCUCUCUGGGUACAGGGAACGACAUGUUCUGCCCUUACCUUGUGCUCACUGCCCAUCUCCCUCUGCCCUGGAAGUGAUGCUGCCUCUGGGCUGGUGCUGCAGGGCUCUCAGCUUUGCAGCAACAGCUGUCUGAGCCCGGAUCUGAGUGGAUACAAAUCCCUCCCUGCUUUUCCAAGGCGCUGACGUGACACUGAACUUCAGGUUUUGAGGUGAGGAAGGGGGAAUGAAGGUUUGCUGCUCAGCUGGGGCUGACAAAAGCUGCAUCCCAGGCUCCAAGGUGAAGCUGUGUCAGACUGUAAUCCUCUGCUCCCAAGCACUGCUGGAACGUCACAGCAGAGCAUGGAGGAGAACGUUUUCUUUUAACAGCACAUUUUUCCUUAAACCAGUUUGCAGGCACGGCUGAGGCAUUUUAAUGGAAAUUUCCUCCCAGUAAAAAGGCUGCAGCACACAUACCAGAAACUCUUGGCCCGGAUCGUUAAC